GAACGCUGGCCGCGUGCCUAAUACAUGCAAGUCGAACGCACAGCGAAAGGUGCUUGCACCUUUCAAGUGAGUGGCGAACGGGUGAGUAACACGUGGAUAACCUACCUCAAGGUUGGGGAUAACAUUUGGAAACAGAUGCUAAUACCGAAUAAAACUUAGUAUCGCAUGAUACCAGGUUAAAAGGCGCUACGGCGUCACCUAGAGAUGGAUCCGCGGUGCAUUAGUUAGUUGGUGGGGUAAAGGCUUACCAAGACAGUGAUGCAUAGCCGAGUUGAGAGACUGAUCGGCCACAUUGGGACUGAGACACGGCCCAAACUCCUACGGGAGGCUGCAGUAGGGAAUCUUCCACAAUGGGCGAAAGCCUGAUGGAGCAACGCCGCGUGUGUGAUGAAGGCUUUCGGGUCGUAAAGCACUGUUGUAUGGGAAGAACAGCUAGAGUAGGGAAUGACUUUAGUUUGACGGUACCAUACCAGAAAGGGACGGCUAAAUACGUGCCAGCAGCCGCGGUAAUACGUAUGUCCCGAGCGUUAUCCGGAUUUAUUGGGCGUAAAGCGAGCGCAGACGGUUAAUUAAGUCUGAUGUGAAAGCCCGGAGCUCAACUCCGGAAAGGCAUUGGAAACUGGUUAACUUGAGUGCAGUAGAGGUAAGUGGAACUCCAUGUGUAGCGGUGGAAUGCGUAGAUAUAUGGAAGAACACCAGCGGGAA
rnacentral:rRNA from 1 species